rfam:Ictidomys tridecemlineatus contig015982, whole genome shotgun sequence.
GCAUAGGUUUUUUUAAAAAACCACAUAAAACAAAAAUGGAAUCUGUGU